rfam:Dipodomys ordii contig_25065, whole genome shotgun sequence.
GGUGACUCAGUGGUAGAGUGCUUGCCUUGCAUGCACGAGGCCCUGGGUUCGAUUCCUCAGCACCA